AUAUUCUAUGCCCUCAAUAUCGGCCGGCAAUGGUGCGGUUGACUAAAUUUUUCCCCAAUUAACUUACAGGUUGUUGCUCACGAGUGCCAUCUCGCUUCUCCGGUGCAAUUCCGUUUAUUAUAAUGAAUUCAAGGCUUUAAAACUUUUUAAUUAUAACACGGAAAAGCUAAAACUUUCUUUUUUAUUUCAGAGGCAAACAAAACAAGCGUAUUAUUCGAAUCUCUGGAAUUGUUUGAAUGACAACUUCAGCAAAAAACCAUAAGUAAAUAAACCAGUGAUGCCAGGAGAAUUUUUAAAAUAUUUUCAAACUAAGGUGAAUAAAUGUAUUGUUGUCGUGGUCCAACCAAGAUGAAUAGAAGUAUUACUACUAGCUUAUUCGGCACGAAAAAGUACACAAGGACGUUCAGAAAAGCAGAUUUGGCAGGAAUUGGAGAGUAAUGCCGGUUGAAGUAUCCUCAUAUUCUUCCUUUCUAAACCUGGCUCCACAACAUUUGGCGCUAGAGCUUGUAAAAAUAUUGGAAACAAUCGCCCGAGAGAGAGUCGAGUGAAUACAUUUACCAAGUAGCGGAUACUUUUAAUUAUUGCUACACAAUCAAUGAUACUCAUCCCGUUCUGAGACCGGAGAACAUUCAGACGAUGACAAAGUGAAAUUGGCCGCCUCACACCCACUUGAAUCGACGGAAAACGAUGUCCGGCGUGCUGGAUUACUUGCCACUGGAGGUGUACAUUGGGAAGGAAACACUUCGAGAUGUGAUAUUUGAGGCAUUUAUGAUGCGUUUUCCUUCCAACCAUGAGUGCAGGAAGUGGGUGUCGUAGUUCACAAGUUAAUUACAAUGUCGCUCGAAUUGAUCCUGUAUCUUCCUGCGACAUGAAUAAAAUAGUAACAAAACCAUUCAUCAAAACAGUGUUAGCGUUCUUGUGAGUCUCACUCGUACAACAAUAGAAAAUCGUGAUUGUGCCUCACUACAUUAAAACGUUGGAUAUGAUUAUGGGGAAUACGAAGGUUACGAUUGGAUAGAUCAACUCCUUUAUAACCUAGAAGAAAAAUUUUGUUCCAACUUCAACAGCCCCGCAACGGAUAAUUUUAUCUUCCUAUUGAGUGCGAAAGCUGGUGGAGUCGGCCUGAACUUGAUCGGGCAUUAUGCUCCCCGGGCAUCAGUUGUGAAUCAAAAACAAAACCUCUGCAACCCGAAAUUUGCCGAAUAGAAACUCAGAUUUUUCUGCUGACUCGGACCGCAACGAUUAUAUCAUACAUCGAAUACAGCAUUGUGAAUGCCGAGGCGUGAGAGAUAUUCUUGGCCAGAACAAUUUAAAUCUGCUGGAAAAUCAAGAUGAAUCUCUGAAGCGCAGUAGGCUACAAAUUAUACUAACACAACCUGGACUGAAGAAAAAUAAACGAUCCUUGAAAAUGCAGGAACUAAUGUGCUAGAAACAUCAUCGAACUUCUGUCAAUUCAGAGAUGCUGGAGGAUUGAGCUGAGGAUAUUGUGCUCAUGUUUGGCAAUGCAGUAAACAAUGGACGAAUGAAACAACGCCGAUAUGAAAUAAUUACAAUAAUAACAAUGCAACUAAAAGUUAAAUGAAUAAUAAAUAGUACUACUGAAUCUUGCCAUCCACUCUCUGAAAGUGACGCUAAUGACUACGGAUGAGACUGCAUUUGUGUUAUUACUGGGCAUGGAUGUUUAGCCGUCCAACUGCUCCUCCAGUGAUGGAUAAUCUUGUUUGGGCAUUCUGUACUUCAAGUUUUCCACCGUUCGAGUCAGAAACGACCGAGGACAGAUACCAUAGAUACGAUAAGAUUCGACGGCUGAAGGUUGACUAUCAAGGUUUUCUGAAUGCGAGUGCUGGGGAAUUUAUGUCGAAGUUGCUGCGCGAACCGAGCAAUUCUCGGAUUGCCUUGGGGUGCGGGACGUGAUGACGAAUUUUUGAAUCAAAGGGGAUCAAUGUGUUCGAUGUUAAUCUGUAAUAUACAAUGUACAGUAAUAUCGUUUUUGUGUUUUUGAUCAAUGAAUGUUGUGUCAUUAUGUUAUGCCGAUAUUUUAUGCGAGAAAAAUGUUUAGGAUGUGCUAUUUAUUCUGAACUAAUUUGAAUUUGAUCUGCAUAUUUAAACUAAUUAAAUAAGCAAACAUCAGCAUAUCGGCACAGAACAUUUGAUGAUUCUCAAUCUGAUUAAUAUUUAGCUGCCAUCUGAUACCGACGACAACUGAGUAUAAAUAGAGUAAUAAAACGUAAAGAGCCAAGAUCUUCCGGAUUGAAAAACUAAUUGCGUGAGAAAAGAUCCCUUGAACAGACAGAUAAAGCUCUCAAGGUGGCGGAAUAAUAGCGUCACGCAUACGAUGAUGACUUGUGAUAGUGUGUGUAUCAGUGUAUCAAUGAUCCCUCUUCCGCCUUCUUUGGUAAACAAUCCCCUCUCACACUCUCCGCCACUUACCACUCCCCUCGCUAACUUACUGAAA